AGAGAAGUCAGCUGACACGGAGAAGGAAGAGAAGUCAGCUGACACAGAGAAGGCAGAGAAGUCAUCUAACACGGAGAUGGAAGAGAAGUCAGCUGACACUGGGAAGGAGGUGAAGUCAGCUGACACAGAGAAGGAGGAGAAGUCAGCUGACACCGAGAAGGAAGAGAAGUCAGCUGACACGGAGAAAGAGGAGAAGUCAGCUGACACGGAGAAGGAAGAGAAGUCAGCUGACAUGGAGAAGAAGAGAAGUCAGCUGACACGGAGAAGGCAGAGAAGUCAGCUGACAUGGAGAAGGAAGAGAAGUCAGCUGACACGGAGAAGGAAGAGAAGUCAGCUGACACAGAGAAGGCAGAGAAGUCAGCUGACAGGGAGAAGGAAGAGAAGUCAGCUGACACGGAGAAGAAGAGAAGUCAUCCAACACGGAGAAGGAAGAGAAGUCAGCUGACAGGAAGAAGGAAGAUAAGUCAGCUGACAUGGAGAAGAAGAGAAGUCAGCUGACAUGGAAAAGGAAGAGAAGUCAGCUGAUACGGAGAAGAAGAGAAGUCAGCUGACAUGGAAAAGGAAGAGAAGUCAGCUGACAGUGAGAAGGAAGAUAAGUCAGUUGACACGGAGAAGGAGGAUAAGUCAGCUGAAAGAAGAGAAGUCAGCUGACACGGAAAAGGAAGAGACGUCAGCUGACACGGAGAAGGAAGAGAAGUCAGCUGACAGGGAGAAGGAAGAGAAGUCAGCUGAUAUGGAGAAGGAGGUGAAGUCAGCUGGCAGGGAGAAGGAGGUGAAGUCAGUUGACACAGAGAAGGCAGAGAAGUCAGCUGACACAGAGAAGGCAGAGAAGUCAGCUGACAUGGAGAAGGAAGAGAAGUCAGCUGACAAAAAGAAGGCAGAGAAGUCAGCUGACAUGGAGAAGGAAG
rnacentral:lncRNA from 1 species